rnacentral:miRNA from 1 species
AGUCUUAGUGCAAUUUUAAGCUAUUAAAU